rnacentral:lncRNA from 1 species
UUUUUUUUUUAUUUUCCAAUCAUAACUCAUAAAUGAUAAAUGAAAAAAAAUGAACCAAAAGAACAAAAACCAAAAAAAGAAAAAGAAGACUAGUAGGAAGCUCACGAGUCACGACAGCGACACAGUAGACAGUGGGAAGUGGAGGAGACCGUAGAGUCAUGGAGUCAGGGUGGCAAUUUGUUAUUUGAUUGGCAAUUGAAUUGAGAUUUGUUUUACAAACCAUUAAACUUGCAUCUAGUGUUUGGACCUUUAAAAAAAAAAAUUAGAAGCCCAAAAGAAGAGAGAUUCACAAUUUUAAAAGAAAUGACCAGAUCCACUUACUUGUCAUCUUCCUAACUCUUCCAAGUUUCAUCAUCCUAGGCAGCGCAGCUUCAAUCUUCAAGCUUCCUUCCUGGCUCAGCGGCAACUGUAAAUUUCGGCAGAGCCAGCACGCGCCCCCUCGUCGGGUGCUGGCUCCGCCACUGUCCCACACCCCUCUUCAAACAAAUUAAUCUUAUUUUCCUCUUUUAGUUCUCUUUAUCAAACUAAGAUCAUUCUUAUGAAGUUUCAAGCCUCUUUAAUUUGCACAAAACAUAAUCCACUCACGUCCACUCGAAUCUCACUCCACUCAAUUACGAAUAGUAUUUGAGAACAUAAGACGUUUACGCAAAAAUAUAUCCGAACCUCAUAAAAAUGAUCCUUCCCAUACGACAUGGGAGUAUG